rnacentral:rRNA from 1 species
UACAGAGGGUGCGAGCGUUGUCCGGAAUCACUGGGCGUAAAGGGCGCGUAGGCGGCUUGGUAAGUAGGGGGUGAAAUCUUGCGGCUCAACUGCAAGGCUGCCUCCUAAACUGCCUGGCUGGAGCACGGGUAGAGGCAGAUGGAAUUCCCGGUGUAGCGGUGGAAUGCGUAGAGAUCGGGAAGAACAUCGGUGGCGAAGGCAGCUCGCUGGGACGUGACUGACGCGUGGAGACGCGAAAGCGUGGGGAGCAAACAGG